CAGUGAAGCUCCCAUCCCCAUCAAAGACUAAAGCCUAGCUUGUGCUGAGCCAGUGGGAGGCCCUCAGUCCUUCCCCUGUACUUACCUGAAAGCCAAUCUGAGACGGCUGCAGCAGUCAGAACAGACCUGCUCUGUAUGAUGAGCCCCCGAGUCUGCACUGGAACUGGAUGAACAAGAUGCUGUCUCUACCAUGCCGAACAUCAACAGUAGGACCAGGAGCACACUCUGGAGGUACAAGAACCAGGAAGGUAGAAGCAGCUGAGUGCUUCUGGAGUUUUCAGUCAGAUCAACAAGGAAGUAUGUGCUGACAGCCAGUGACCAUAAGGAACACUGGCCACUUUUACGGAUCAGGUUUGGAAAAGAACUGAUUCUCGGGCUGGAGAGAUGGCUCAGCGGUUAAGAGCACUGACUGGCUCUUCCGAAGGUCUCGAGUUCAAAUCCCAGCAACCACAUGGUGGCUCACAACCAUCCAUAAUGAGAUCUGAUGCCCUCUUCUGGGGUGUCUGAAGACAGCUACAGUGUAUUUACAUAUAAUAAAUAAAUAAAUAAAUAAAUAAAUCUUUUU
ensembl:antisense Gm15879 predicted gene 15879